CCUACGGGAGGCAGCAGUGGGGAAUAUUGGACAAUGGGGGGAACCCUGAUCCAGCGACGCCGCGUGAGUGAAGAAGUAUUUCGGUAUGUAAAGCUCUAUCAGCAGGGAAGAAAGAAAUGACGGUACCUGACUAAGAAGCCCCGGCUAACUACGUGCCAGCAGCCGCGGUAAUACGGGGGAUGCAAGCGUUAUCCGGAUUUAUUGGGUUUAAAGGUUGCGUAUGCUGUGAGGUAAGUCAGCGGUGAAAUGCCCCCGCUCAACGGGGUGAAGUGCCAUUGAUACUGCCUUGCUGGAAUGCGGAUGCCGUGGGAGGAAUGUGUGGUGUAGCGGUGAAAUGCAGAGAUAUCACACAGAACACCGAGUGCGAAGGCAACUCACGAAUCCGCGAUUGACGCUGAUGCACGAAAGCGUGGGUAUCAAACAGGAUUAGAUACCCUUGUAGUC
rnacentral:rRNA from 1 species